CCACAAGUUAAUGACCGCCACGCGGCCCACGGUAGGGGGUCGUCGUUCGGUUGUUAAUUCGGUGGAUUCUGUUCGGUAUUUAGAGGCGAACGUCGAUGCCCCCAGGCUUAUCAAUUACGUUGUGGUUAACCGCAAACCGCAGCUGCCUGGGUGGUUAAUGGCUGCCACACGCCGCUGGCUGGGGGGGUCGAGCGUUCGGUAGUUUGCGGGGUGACGGGG